GUCUACAGCCAUGCUACCCUGAACAAGCCCGAUCCCAUUUGAUCUCGGAAGCUAAGCAGGAUCCGGCCUGGUUAGUACUUGCAUGGUAGACUACCUAGGAUUGUAAGCU
rnacentral:rRNA from 1 species